UUGCCGAGGAGGAAACAAGAAUUAAAAGAACACCAUCUUUCGGGACUGAACGGGCCUUCGGGCUCUUUGUUGACUAAUUCUGCAAUUCUGAGGCUU
rfam:Daucus carota subsp. sativus cultivar DH1 chromosome 4, whole genome shotgun sequence.